rnacentral:lncRNA from 1 species
AAAAACAAAAUACAAUUGUGGCCUCAUGGACUAGGGCAAGGGCAACUUUGAUCCUUUGGCACCAUCAAAGCCAAUCCUUUUGAUAAAAGAAUUAGGGUUCCAAUGAUAAGGGCUUUUCUUUAUUACAAUGACAUCAACCACCACGCGGCACCAUCAUGUUUCAAAAGCAUUUCUACACAAAUCAAUCCAAGUUUUAAAAGUCCAAUUCCUUGUGAAUUAGGUAUCAUACAUUGCCAUAUGUUGUGGUUACUUUUCAACAAACUUGUAUUCUUUGUAUUUUAAGUAUUUGUAAACAAAGGAAAAGUUAGAAAAACAGAAGCGGAGUAAAGCAUCUAGAGAAUAGGUUCUGUUGUAUAUGUGUAUAUAUAUAUAUAUAUAUAUAGAUAGAUAUAUGACUUUAUGACUUUAUAUUAUCAUUAUUGUUCUUUUGAGCAUGUAUGUAUAUGUAUGCAUAUAUAUAUAUAUAUAUAAUUUGCACCUUGGAAUGUUGGUGUAUUCUGUAAUUGUUUUCAUGACGGUAAUAAUGUGAGAAUCAAAGCAUUUAUGUUGUUAUAUUUUAUAUAUUUUUGUUGUUGUUGUUGUUAGGUCUUAAUAUGGUGGGAAUGCAAGUAGCUCGUGUCAAUCUGCCAGUAUCAUACAUGUGUGCCAACCAUAUGAUUUGAAGGUGGGAAUGAACAAUGGAGCAGGCUCUUGUUUCAUUAUUUCAGUGUAAAGCAAUGUGCUGAGGGAAUAUGACAACAAUGACAAUGUUAUCAUUUGAACCCACAAGUUGGACCCACUAUAAUUCCCAUUCUACAUUGUAUAUUGUAGUUUGUGUUUUAAAACAAGGAGAAAAAUCAUUGCCACCAUCAGUUUGGGUUUGUUUCCAAUCCAUCAAGUUAUAUACUUACGUAAUUAUAUUCAGAAUUUUUGAACUAUUUGGUGAGGUUGAUGUUGUAUGCGGUGCAUUUUUCUUAGUGAAAAUAAUACACCUUUUCACUGUCCUGGAUUGUCAAUUGUAAUGUCAAUAAAUUGUAACUUUAUGUUUUGAUUUUGUAUUUGAUUUAAUUCUAACAAAAUUUCAUGUCAAUGAAAAUGAGAAUAGCCUAAAGAACCAGUUUCUUUUUUCAAGUUAGAUUUAAUAAAAAUUUGAAAAUUUAUAUUGUAUGUAUGUAUGUAUGUAUGUGUAUAGAUAGAUAGAUACAUAUAUAUAUAUAUAUAGUCUUGUGUUAACUGUGAUCUCUUCCUACAGAUAUAAAUAUAAAUGAAAUAUUAUUGGAAGCCACAGUGUUUAACAACAAAUAAGUUUUAUCUACUAAGUAAAAAAUUUAGAUUGAUUAAUAACAAAAAUUUAUUUUUUUAGUUAAUAUAAUUGAAUAUGAAUAAUUAAUCAGUAUAUUAGAAAAUAUAAAGAUAUCAAAUAUGAUUAAAUGUUUUACUAGAAUACAUUUUGUGUAAAUACAUAUGAACAAUUGUUAAAAGUAAAAUAUUAUAAUUUUUUA